GACAAUUUGACCUCAAAUCAGGUAGGACUACCCGCUGAACUUAA
rnacentral:rRNA from 1 species